rnacentral:tRNA from 1 species
UCUCUGUUAGUAUAUCGGUUAGUACACGCGCCUGUCAUAGGUUCGGUCGCGCGAAAGCGGGGUUCGACUCCCCGACAGAGAG